rnacentral:lncRNA from 1 species
GUCAGGUUCAUAGAGCUUUGGAGACAAUGCUUGGGCAAGGAAAGCAUCAAGUUCCUGGCGACGAAGUAUACGAACCCCUGGCCACUGUACCAUGUACCUUAGUACACAACAAAGCACCAUAAGAUGAGUGGGCACAUUAGUUGGAUUGAGCAUUGCUGGUGUAUCUGAUCUCAUACAGGCCAAAAAUGCCCUCAUUCUUCGGUUCUUGUCUUCUACUGCUUUUCCCAGCCACAGUUUCUUCAGAUUAGGACAGGUCCAUUCCCUGAAGGCAAGUGCUUCCACCAGCUCAGGGGUUUGUGGAGACUUUCCUUUGUAAGCAGCCCAUUCCUUAAUUAUCACUGGUGAAAAUUCUGGUGGAAGUCUGUUCUUUCUAAAAGCGAGUCUUUCCGUUUUCUUUCUGCUUUCUGCCAAACUAAACAGGACUCCGUAAACAUACUGACGAACUGGCCUAUAGAGCAGAGCAGCAGGAGGCAGGUCUUUGUUGGCUUCAUCUUCUAUAGAAACGGCAAUUUUGAUUUCACCCUUGGUUAGGACAUGAAAGAUGUAGGGAUACAUUAACCCCUUCUUGUGCCUGUGUUCUGCCACUCUUAAUACUUCAGGUGCUACUGGAGGUAAUGGAGGGGUAGUAAUAUCCAUGUGGUUUCUGGUGGGCAUUGACAACAGGCAUGGGAUUUGUGGAUUACUGGUUUGAUUCCCUUUGACAUCGGCUGCCUGACUUCCUGAAGAAGCACUAGAGGAACCUUCUGCCUUUGUUUGGUCUCCCAGGUCUCCACGUGUUUGACUUUCUGACUGGGUUCCUGUUUUUUCCCAGCCUAUUUUGUUCCCA